AAAAAGCAAAACCUAAGGUUACGUGUCCAAAGUCUUAUAUAAAAUUUUUUUAUAAUUCGUAUUUUCAUUACUGUUAGAUGAUAAAAUAUGAUUAAUAUUUUAUGCGUAACUUGUCUUUUUAAUUUUUUUCAUAAUUUUUUUAAAUAAGACGAACGGCCAAACAUUGGACACGGAAACUAGGAUUUAUC
rnacentral:pre_miRNA from 1 species